AUGAGCUGAGCCUAGUGUUUACCUUGUCUAUUUGUGCUUGGUUGGCUGAUGUGUUUUCUUUUCGAGUUCUGUAGGGAUUUACUGAAAGUCUGAAAUAAACCAUAGAUAUUGUUGGCCAAAUAAUGCAAGCUGAAACUAUGGAAGUGAUGGAGGAAAAACUUAAUUCAGGCUUACCUCUUCGAAGCUCGGUAGCAACCAGACCAACUUCCUCCCUUUUGAUUGUUGAUGCGUGAAUGAAGAACUAGGGGAAUUUUGUUGGCUGACCAAAUAUAAGGGAGAAGGAGUUGUUGAGUUCUACAUCUCCUAUGACAUGCUUGAAAGAGGGCAGCAGGUGUAGGGUGGCUGACUUGACCACCUGCUGUACCUUAAGCAUGGUGUAACAGCUCCAGCUGCAGAGGAGGGAUGGGGGAGCUGCUGUUGCAACUGAGCUGUUCUAUGCACAAACACGUUUCUCUUAUUUCCUCCUUUUCUUGCCUAUUUCUUUUGUUGGCAUAUGGUGUAAUAGGAAGGUAGGAACUAGGGGUAGGAAGGAUGGUGAAUGUAAGUCAUAAAAGGUGUGAUGUGAUUAUACAUAGAAAAUCCUUCUGCCUUGGUAAAUCUAUAUCUGUAAUACUAGCUCCGAGUUUUGCUAAUAUCGCGUGUUUGUAGUCGAAUACUAGUUACUCUAAUAAAUCCCGC
rnacentral:lncRNA from 1 species